UUCCUACGGGGGGCAGCAGUAGGGAAUCUUCCACAAUGGGCGAAAGCCUGAUGGAGCAACGCCGCGUGGGUGAAGAAGGUCUUCGGAUCGUAAAACCCUGUUGUUAGAGAAGAAAGUGCGUGAGAGUAACUGUUCACGUUUCGACGGUAUCUAACCAGAAAGCCACGGCUAACUAUGUGCCAGCAGCCGCGGUAAUACGUAGGGAGCAAGCGUUAUCCGGAUUUACUGGGUGUAAAGGGCGUGUAGGCGGGCAUGCAAGCCAGAAGUGAAAUCUGGGGGCUUAACCCCCAAACUGCUUUUGAAAC
rnacentral:rRNA from 1 species